CAGAUCCUCCUCCAGGCCUGGGUGGGGGGGCGGGGGGCGGGCAGGGGGUGUAAGGAGGGCCCCGGGCACUGGGGAGCGCUGGCUCUCUCCCCCCCGGACACUGGCUCCAUCAAAGAGGCGCUUUUGUCCUAAACCUUCGGCCCUGAGGAGUCCAACCUGGUUCUAAUCACUUCGGAGUCGCCGCCUUUCACAGUGAUCCUGUUUACAUUCUGCGCGCCUUCUCACUGGCCAGCCCUGACACCAGCAAGCCCGCUCGCUCCAGCUUCAUUUCCAUGUCCUCUGGACUUCUUGCGGAGCUCCUCCUUCUGGCCAGCUUCUCGUCGUACUGCUUCUUCAGCAUCUCUAGCUUCUCGGCCACCUGGGAGGGACCAGAGCGAACGGCUCAAAGGCCACUCUGUGGCCGCACUGCUCGGGGGUUCCGGUGGCCCAUCUGCCGUUUCGAGGCCUUGGGGCCUCCGUGGCCCGGUGUGCCAUGUGACGAUGCUAACCCCUACCCCGUAGGGCUGUCGCAGACAGAAAACAAGACAAAGUAUGUGUGGUGACGUGAGGUCUUCUUUCCCUUCCCCUCCGCCACUCUUUUCUUGGGCCAGGAAACUUCUUGUCAUGAAACUCAAGGCCGGGUAGGAAGACAGUCCCCUUGGAGCAUAAUAAGCCACAUGAGUCGCACUGGCAAGAGAGGAUCAGAGGGCACAGAAACGACUUGCCAGCCCCACGCCAGUGUGGCAUGGCCCUAAGGCAGGACCUCGAGAGAGAAAGAAAAAUCUAGAAAACUGUUGGAGAGAGGAAGAGGGACUCCAUUUGGGGCAAAGGCCCAGGUGCAGGGACCCACACAGGGAUGGGGAUCCAACUGUGCAGAGUUCACGUGCUGGCCUGGUGCCCCUGACCGGGCCUCAUCUGGGCUGUGGGAAGGAGGGCACAGGGCACAGGACAUGGGCCCAACCACUGAGGUUGACCUCCAAAAGACCCUGGAAAUGCAAUAGAUUAACUCCCCAAGAAACUGUCUUUAAAGCAAAAGCACCCAGGGCAGCUGCGUGGCUCAGUCGGUUAAGCAUCCGGGUUCAGCUCAGGUCAUGAUCUCACGGUUCAGGGGUUCGAGCCCCAUGUCAGGCUCUGUGCUGAUGGCUCAGAGCCUGGAACCUGCUUCGGAUUCUGUCUCCCUUGCUCUCUGCCCCUCCCCUGCUCACGCUCUCUGUCUUAACAAUAAAUAAACAUUUAAAAAAAAAAAAAAGGCAAAGUGGAGGUCCCAAAUGUCACCUUCGGGUGACAGCACGCCUUCCAGGUCAAGCCUGGGUAGUGAUGUUAGAAGGUAUUAACAUCCAGGGAAAGAAGGGGUCACUCCGAAGGGGUGAGUCAGCCGGGCCACUCAGGGACGAAACACCGGCUGGGGGUCUAGAAAGAGAGGGGCGCCCUUGCACUGGCAUAGGUGGGCUUAAACCCGCUGGAGGCCAUGCUGUCCGGCGGUCUUCCCUGCGUGCCACCUGUCGCCAGGUUCACGUGACUGCCUCACCCCCGCCCGCGCAGUCCAGGCUCGUCAGCACACUGAUUAUAAUUGGGCUUCCCGCGGAGCUGUGUCUGUGGGGAAGCAGCCAGCCCACGAUCGUUCUGGAUUUCAUUACUUAUUUUGCAUGUGGUGUUGUCUUCACUGUUUCUAUUUUUUAUACAAGAAAUGUACGCAUAAGGUUAAAGACCUAAAUAAUACGAUAAAAAGGAGUUAUAACAAAACCUCUUCCACUCCUGGUCCCGUUCUUCAGUAGCAAAUUAUUUUUAACCAUUUCUCUUUUUAUUUCUUCUGGCAGCUGCCUCCCUAUCUCUGAAUAUUAUGCUUAGGCUACUAUUUUUAAAAUACAUACAUGCAUAUUUAUACAUA